rnacentral:rRNA from 1 species
GAUGAACGCUGGCGGCGUGCUUAACACAUGCAAGUCGAACGGAAAGGCUCCUGCUUGCAGGGGUACUCGAGUGGCGAACGGGUGAGUAACACGUGGGUGAUCUGCCCUGCACUUCGGGAUAAGCCUGGGAAACUGGGUCUAAUACCGGAUAGGACCACCUUUUGGAUGGUGUGGUGGAAAGUUUUUCGGUGUGGGAUGAGCUCGCGGCCUAUCAGCUUGUUGGUGGGGUAAUGGCCUACCAAGGCGUCGACGGGUAGCCGGCCUGAGAGGGUGUACGGCCACAUUGGGACUGAGAUACGGCCCAGACUCCUACGGGAGGCAGCAGUGGGGAAUAUUGCACAAUGGGCGCAAGCCUGAUGCAGCGACGCCGCGUGGGGGAUGACGGCCUUCGGGUUGUAAACUCCUUUUGCUAGGGACGAAGCGCAAGUGACGGUAGCUGGAGAAGAAGCACCGGCUAACUACGUG